rnacentral:lncRNA from 1 species
UGUCCCCUCUUGAAUAAUUAUGACCGGUUUAGACAUUAGUGCCUCCCAUUCUCAUGAUUUAUUCAUCGGCUUCUAGUUUGCUGUGCACUGCUCUGGUCAAUCAGAGGUUGCACCGGUAGGCGUGCUAGCGAUCCAUACAUAGGUUACUGCAGUUGUGGCACAUAUGACUUUUUGUUGUGAAUCGGUCCGGCAACUAUAGUUGCUCGGUUGAAGUUACCUGCAGCGGUGGGAUUGGCUACUUCCGAGUGGCGCGUGCUGGGUGAACAUGUAGACGUAGGCUAAGAUAACGUCAGCUGUAGCGAGCAAUUUCGCUUGAGGAUCCCAAAGAAACCGUCUGGUUGCAGUUCUCUACAGCGGCUACCGGUUGUCGGCAGGCUAUUUGCUGCGACUGAUGCGAAGCGGCUAGUGAGGCUGGAGAGAGAGUCAAGCAAGAGAGCUGUGCUGGGUGUCUGCCCCCUUUGUAGUGGGAUCAGGAUCGGGACUAUGGUUCAUGUUCAUCAUAGAGACAUGUAG